rnacentral:rRNA from 1 species
GACGAACGCUGGCGGCGUGCUUAACACAUGCAAGUCGAACGAUGAAGCUAGAGCUUGCUCUGGUGGAUUAGUGGCGAACGGGUGAGUAACACGUGAGUAACCUGCCCCGAACUCUGGGAUAACUGCUGGAAACGGUAGCUAAUACCGGAUAUGACCAAUUAAGGCAUCUUCUGUUGGUGGAAAGAAUUUCGGUUCGGGAUGGACUCGCGGCCUAUCAGCUUGUUGGUGAGGUAACGGCUCACCAAGGCGACGACGGGUAGCCGGCCUGAGAGGGUGCUCGGCGACACUGGGACUGAGACACGGCCCAGACUCCGUCGGGAUGCAGCAGAGGGGACUAUUGCACACUGGGCGCAAGCCUGAUGCAGCAAAGCCGCGUGAGGGACGCAGGCCUUCGGGUUGUAAACCUCUUUUAGUAGGGAAGAAGCGAAAGUGACGGUACCUGCAGAAAAAGCACCGGCUAACUACGUGCCAGCCGCCGCCGUAA